rnacentral:rRNA from 1 species
AUUGAACGCUGGCGGCAGGCUUAACACAUGCAAGUCGAGCGGGGUGAUGGUGCUUGCACUAUCACUUAGCGGCGGACGGGUGAGUAAUACUUAGGAAUCUGCCUAUUAGUGGGGGACAACAUCUCGAAAGGGAUGCUAAUACCGCAUACGUCCUACGGGAGAAAGCAGGGGAUCACUUGUGACCUUGCGCUAAUAGAUGAGCCUAAGUCGGAUUAGCUAGUUGGUGGGGUAAAGGCCUACCAAGGCGACGAUCUGUAGCGGGUCUGAGAGGAUGAGCCGCCACACUGGGACUGAGACACGGCCCAGACUCCUACGGGAGGUAGCAGUGGGGAAUAUUGGACAAUGGGGGAAACCCUGAUCCAGCCGUGCCGCGUGUGUGAAGAAGGCCUUAUGGUUGUAAAGCACUUUAAGCGAGGAGGAGGCUACUGAGACUAAUACUCUUGGAUAGUGGACGUUACUCGCAGAAUAAGCACCGGCUAACUCUGUGCCAGCCGCCGCAGUAA